rnacentral:rRNA from 1 species
CUUUCUUUGCUGGCGACCGGCGCACGGGUGAGUAACACGUAUCCAACCUGCCCUUUACUCGGGGAUAGCCUUUCGAAAGAAAGAUUAAUACCCGAUAGUAUAAUGAUUCCGCAUGGUUUCAUUAUUAAAGGAUCCGGUAAAGGAUGGGGAUGCGUUCCAUUAGGUUGUUGGUGAGGUGACGGCUCACCAAGCCUUCGAUGGAUAGGGGUUCUGAGAGGAAGGUCCCCCACAUUGGAACUGAGACACGGUCCAA